rnacentral:tRNA from 1 species
GGGCCGUUAGCUCAACUGGCAGAGCGCCUCGUUGACGUCGAGGAGGUUACAGGUUCGAGUCCUGUACAGCCCACCA